UGGGGAAUAUUGGACAAUGGGCGCAAGCCUGAUCCAGCCAUGCCGCGUGAGUGACGAAGGCCUUAGGGUUGUAAAGCUCUUUCGGCGGGGAAGAUAAUGACGGUACCCGCAGAAGAAGCCCCGGCUAACUCUGUGCCAGCAGCCGCGGUAAUACGUAGGGACCAAGCGUUGUUCGGAUUUACUGGGCGUAAAGGGCGCGUAGGCGGCAAUUCAAGUCAUCUGUGAAAUCUCCGGGCUUAACUCGGAACGGUCAGAUGAUACUGCUUUGCUAGAGUGCAGAAGGGGCAAUCGGAAUUCUUGGUGUAGCGGUGAAAUGCGUAGAUAUCAAGAGGAACACCUGAGGUGAAGACGGGUUGCUGGGCUGACACUGACGCUGAGGCGCGAAAGCCAGGGGAGCAAACGGGAUUAGAUACCCUGGUAGUCCCUGAGCGGGCUGGCAAGGCGCAU
rnacentral:rRNA from 1 species